AUACAAUUAUUAAAGCACGCAAGGUUGAAUUUCCCUCAAGACCUACUGUUUCUAAUGAGGCAAAGGAAUUUAUACGGCGGUGUCUGACAUAUAACCAGGCUGAGAGACCAGAUGUAUUGACCAUUGCUCAAGAUCCAUAUCUCACAUACGUGAAGAAGUAGUGAUGUUCAUUGACAUGGCUUUGUUACCCUUUCCCUACCAAAAAAGCAUAUGGGGAUCUCAUCUUCUAACUUCAGUCACUAAAUAUCUGUCAGAAUUUGUAUAGGCUAUUAAGGUUUUCUUGUCUCAAAUGAGUGAGGGAAAGGAUUUUUCCCAUUCUACAAGGAGUUCUUGUUUUCUUCAUGCAUUUAUCAUUUUGGUUCAAAAUACCGGAGUAGCAAAAAGCUAGUUGAGUUGACUUGACCUUGAAAGGGUCAUGAUGUAUAGGUAGGUAAGAAGUUUUUUUUUUUUUUUUUUUU